GCCUGAUCAUCGGCUAUGAUCUUACUGGUCGGGCCCACUUGAUGUCAAAGUGGGCAAUAGUGGCCCCUUACCUAAAAUGAGUUUGACACCCCUACCUCUUCCAUUCCAACCAAGAAUAAUUAAACUUUCUGUGAUGACCGACCACAAACCAAACAUUAAGAGGGAAGUGCAGAUAUACAUUUCUGCUUCUAGAAUUAUAUGUUUGUUUUUGAUGUAACAGAAAUGUUUAGCUUCCAGAUAAUAAAGCAUUUUCACUUUCACAACAAUCCAGGAAGGAAUCCAUAACAUAAAGAAUCAUUUAGAUUAUGUUAUUGAUAUGGUACUUUUCCAGUCCAGGCAACCACUCAAUCAAUUUACACACACAAGCCGGCAUUCACCACACCCUAAUGUGACUCCAGUUUCAAACACUUUCUGACUCAAAUGCAUUCAGUUGAACUGGGCCUUCUGUAAAUAUUUAGUUUGUCAGUUACAGGUAGAUGACUGGAUUGCCCCCCCACCCACCCACACACUGCUCUCUGUAACACUUCUGCCCACCAUGAAUCAAACACACAGCCUAUUCACAGGGGAGCCAUCAUGGGGAAUACAUAGCAGCUCCUGGGUUACUUUGUAUUGUAAUAGAUGCAUUGUGCCGGUAAAGAAUAUCCCAGCCUGUAUUCAUGCAGAAUGAACAAAAAAGGGAACAGAAGAAAGGGUCUGGUGCAGAUUCAGGGGAAACUAGUGUAAUUAGAAAGAGAUGGGAUUGGGGGAGGUUCAAUCGCUCCAGAUGUGAAAUCUAAUUUCUAUAUAAUGUCAUUUAAAUCCUGUGAUCCAGAAAUUGUAUUUGAACUGGGAUUAUCGGAAUCAUCAGACUGUGAAUGCCUAAGAUCCCAGCCACUGUUUGUGGGUGUACAAAGGUGUGUAUAUGGAGGAUAGGGAUGGGGGGGGCAGGGGUUUAGUGUUCCACAAGUUCACAAGUUGCAAGCUUUUUUGGGAUGAUUAUAGAGGCGAAAAGAAAAAAUGGAUUCCAUUUAAAGUGGAAUGAAAAGGCAGAGCAGGAAGGAUAAAUGAAGGAUUUGAAGACAUCACAGAGAGACAAAAUAAAGGAACUUAUUUAGGUAGAGAUCUUUUAUCUUUUUAUAAACAAGUUUGGAAAAAUAAAUCAAGUAAAAAAUGAUUUUUUGUUAUUUUGUUUGCAGUGUUAUUGUACACAGUGUAGUGUGAUGUUGAAAAUAGAGCUGCUUACUUGGACGGGGGACGUCUUUGGGUGGUGGAAAGAACCCCUUUUACCAACUUCUAAACCUGGCCAACAUCAACAACAGGCAGCGCCUGAAGAGGUGGGGGCUGGAAGGGGGUAGGUAUGGAGGGACAUCCAGUCUCUAUAUGACAGUAGUAGGAGUUGUGUUCAAAUUCUCCGCAAUAAGUUCCAUGUUCCCGGCAGGCAUACUCUUCAUCAACUGUCCUGUUUGUUCUGUUGAAAGGAGUCAGUUUGAGCAUGCCAAAUGGCCUGGUAAUGCCUCUGGAUCCCCCAGAAUGAGCUGGAAAAUGUUGGUGUGGUUGAGAGGGUCUGGUUCAAGUCUGGUUCAAACUGUCAGGCCCACUGCCACCGAAAACCAACCCCUGAUAAAAGUAGGAAAAUGGAUGGGUGGAUAGAAAAUACAUUCCCUUGGACGAUACUCUGAAACACCACACAACUUUAUUGAUUCUUCCCAGAGCAAAUAUAAAGUUUAACUUGUAAAAUACAUAUUACUAAAGUCAAAUGAUCGCACAAUAACCAAAUAUAUAUAUUUACGUGAAUUACAGGUGGCCUAUGGUUGAAGUAGUGAUGUUUUUUCUCUCUAAAUGGUGUCUAUAAGUCAUUUGUUAAGUAACUUUAAGCAACCCAUAUGGGGAGGUCUAGGUAUUUAUCAAUCCUCUUUCAUUACAGUGAAGAAAGAAUUUAGUCAGAAAAUCAAACAACAGCAAAUCAAAUAGUAAAAGGUGCUGCAGAUGGGGGAUUGAUCAUAAACCAUUGUCAACAUUGUCAUUACUGUCACACAAUAAUAAGUUCUUAUAUCAGACUGCAGUUUACAGAUUUGUUAUUUCUAACCGUUUAAUUGACAAGAUAUUGUUGAGAUCAACAAUUGAGAGCUUGUUUUCCAAGAAAAAUUCAGAUAAACCUACCCGUUCUCAUUCAAAACUUACAUACAGCCACUUGUCUCGUGAAAUUAUACUACGCUAGAUUGUUUUAAAAUUUGAAUUCUCUUCCUGAGGUCUCUUAAAAUUUUAUUUCAGGAGGGGAGAUUUUUUUUUAAAAGCAAGGGUCCAAGGACAGAGGACAUUGGUGUAUAUAUUGCACUCUGAGGCCAAUUCGUGAUAACAGGAUAUACAAACAUAAUUUUAUUGCCACUGAGAGAUGACUUAAAGUAAAAGGUAAGGAGCGGGGGCAGAAAUCAAAAGUAGGUAGAACAGUUUAUAUAACGCAUUAUAUGUUUUGUCAGCAGCAACUUCUUGCUGGUUCAACUAAAGUAGUUAAUAGUGUUUACAUGACGGGAAGGGUUGCUGCAUUUUUUCCUGCCGAUGCUAUCUGUGCCCGUUAUCAGGUGAAGCAAAGUAUGAGAGUAGUGGCUGUGUGUAGCGACUGUGAGCUGAUCAGUGGGGCACGCUCACAUGCACAUGCAUGCGAUAUAAGCAUGCAUGGCUGGUCAGGUCAUAUCAAAAAAUGACUGCCAAAUUUUACAUGGCUAAUAGUUGUCUGCUUAACAACAUUAACAACAAUGGUCAUUGUUAAAUUCAUUUCCUUUAGAAAAUAUGUAUGCACAUAAUGUAUUCACUUCAUAAAAACAAAUCUACUUUUCCUUAGCAGAUUCCCUUUCUAUUCCAUUUAGGAGAUGACAACAAAUGUAUCUGCUUCACCCAGCUGCAAAGGAGGAAUGAUCUGUAACACUGAAAAAUUACCUUUUCAUAGUUUUAUGAACCCGUAAGAUUUCCGUUUUAAACGAACACACUAGCAAGCAUGCAGCACAUGUUUUACAAAGUGACUGUCUCCAGUCUUGUCUGUACAAUGUAAGUCCUAGCAUGCUGAGCUGUCAACAAAACCCAAUAAUCUCUCUAAGGAACCUACAGGUGUGCUGCAUUGUCUUUCCUCUGUGACAGCCCUGAAAAGAGAACAUGCUACUCACGGUGGCAAGCCUGAUUGUAGUGGCGUUAUCGACUAGCUCCUUAGUGUAAUUCACAGAUACAGAGCGGCAGAGACAAACACAGGUAAGAACACUUGAAAUCUUUUAUCUCCACUGUGCAGCCGACAGCAGGGUAAGGGUUCUUCUUUCCCUCCAAAACAGCCAAAACACAGCAUACCCCCAGGGAUGCCGCUGUUGUGUGCUUCUUACUAGUCCAAAAUAAUCCUUUAAACAGUCAGUUAUUGUAAGCGUAUGUCUGUUGAGAAGAAUAUAUAAGGGAAUUCUGGAACAAACUUUUAAGGAGAUCUAAAUCAAGUCGGUAAAGGGAACAAAUGCAGAUUACAAGGGACACAAGUGCAGAUUAAAGACUUCUGGGUGCAAAGAAAUGUAAGUCUUUUUAUGUGCCUUUAAACAUCAAGCUAAUAAUAAAAAGGUGGUCAGAGGAUGACAUUGCAAAGAUUCAGAUUAAAAAAAAAAUAUAUAUAUAUACAGACUACAUUCUCCGGUUUCUCAGUUAUAAUGUGCACAAUGAGCUCUUCGCUGGAUUUUUUUGGAAGCAUUAGAGUCCUGGCAACAAUUAGCAACAGACCACUUAAUAAUACUCUAAACACAACUUAACUGUGGUAAUAUAAGUAAAAUAAAAAUACUAUACAAAGAUAAAAAAUAUAUUGUGCGUACGUAGUGGUGUACAACUUUUUCAGUCCGUCGAAAAUAAAUGCUAUACUGGGUGACAACCAAAUAGCAACAGCAGAUCACCCUCAUUCUAGUGGUGUAUGUUUUAUGUCUCUCAGACAACGCCUGCCGGAGUUAUUGCGAAAUAACCACCAAACCAUCGCAUCAAAAAUAAAUUCUCCAAGCGAACAUAGAAAUCGAAGCACAGCCGGUUAAAUUACAUUACAUUACAUGUCAUUUAGCAGACGCUUUUAUCCAAAGCGACUCACAUUGCACUUUUUUUUUUUACAUUUGGCCCAGGGAGCAAUUAGGGGUUAGGUGUCUUGCUCAGGGACACUUCGACUUGAGACAUGGGGCAGCCGGGACUCAAACCUCCAACCUUGCGCUUCCCAGCACUUCCCAGCGCUUCCCAGCACUCCCGCUCUACCCCCUGCGCCACGACGCCCCGUAACAACAAUCAAUCAUUGUUGGGAAAAUUGCAAAUCAUGUCAUGUCAAGAAGGGGGGUUUAGACAAAACAAGACUAUGUCUGUAUCGUUUGUACAAUAAGUUGGGUGUAUGACAUGUCAGCUGAGGUAAGAUGACCCCUCCGCUCAGGGUAUGAAAUCUAUGUGACGUGUAUGUCCGGUAUCCAGAAGGCCACUCCGUGUCUCAUGAUGAUCAGAUGACUCAGGAUAAAGAACCUGUCCUUAUACAAUAAGAUCAUUGUGCGUGCGCACAUUUAUUUUACCAUACAUAUUUAGUUUAUCAUCAAAGCCAAGAGGGGUUUAAGGCCACCAUGACCGCACAUGUGGGACUCUUAAGCUCCCACGCACAGACAACCGGCUGCUGGAUCGGAGGCGGCAGCGCGGGUCCAGGUUGACCGCAAUUGCACCUGGUUCUUCAGCAGAUCUCUGGCACGCUGCAUCACGUGGGCCUGAGCAAGGUUCACGACCUCCCGCCGGAGGAGUGGAGGAGCCCAUGCAGAUUGGAAGGGCCCGACAAUGAGUAAGCCUGUUAAAGCAAGUGCACUUAAUGGAAGCGCAUUGUUCACCAUAACCCAUGUUACGGAACAAGUAGAACUUUGCACCGCCGACCAUUGGGAGCGCAUAAGGCUGUGCCUCAUACACUCACCUCUGCACCAUCUCAUCCUCGGGCUUCCGUGGCUAAUUCGCCACAACCCACACAUAGACUGGCGCACCGGGGAAAUUAUGGCGUGGGUGGACGGUUGUAGGAACCAAUGUCGGGAAUCACAGCCCCAAGAGCAGAACCCUACUGUUAAGUGUUUUUACUCACUCUGGCACACUCAGAAACCACCGAUCUGACCAAGGUGCCAAGCUGCUACCAUCAUCUCGCGGAGGUUUUUAGUAAAAGCAAGGCCACAGUCCUACCACCUCAUCGCACAUUUGACUGCGCCAUUGAUCUCCUGCCCGGCUCCACCAUCUUGAAGGGCCGUCUUUAUUCGGUUUCUGGGCCUGAGAGGCAGGCCAUGAAAGACUAUAUAGAGUCGUCUCUAAGGGGAGGUUUGAUCCGACCUUCUUCAUCCCCAGCAGGGGCUGGUUUCUUCUUUGUGGGGAAAAAUGAUGGAACCCUUCGCCCCUGCGUCGACUAUAGUCCGCUGUGGUGGCGGGCGUGGUUUGGCUCGGCUGCAGAGGGGACGGAGAAGGGAGUGGUUUGGGGAACGGUGCCGGGGGAGGGAUAAUCAGCCUCAGCUGAGAUAAAUCAUUGUUUGUGUUCCUCCUUUAAGUAGGAGAGAUCUGGCGACAGCGAGAGAGCUGAGCGAGGCGAGGAAGCUGAAGCCAGUCGCAAAAAAAAAAACGAUAAAAUAAAGACUGUUCACUAAAACCCUCAGCCGCAUCCUCAUUAUUCCGGGACCCCCACAGACCCACCCGUUACAGUGGCACCCAACGUGACUGGGGGAUGGAAGCGGCGGACGACGACGACCACCAGCAGGGGAUGGCGGCCCAGCCUGUUGUGGUACUCGGCCAGAUGAUCGGGAACCUGGCGGCCCGCAGAGGGAGCGGAAGAGUUCGCCGGCGUCAGCCCGACCAGGAGCUGCGCCACGGUGAGAGAGGCUGCCGCGGACAGAGGAGCAACCCGUACUGGCUCCGCGGCAGGCACCGUUUUCCCCAGCCCGCAACCCACCGGCCCCGGGGAUCCCAGGCACCCUUCCCAACCGACAGAGAGGUUCUCAAGCGCCGGGGCAGAAGUGUUGGAGGUGCGGGCGGCUCGGUCACCUCCAGAGAGAGUGCCUGCUGAUGGAGGUGGGACAGGUGAUCUGACAGGUGGGACAGGUGACCCUCUCCCGGUCCGGGAGCGACGUACCGCGUUCCGGUAAGAAUCCAGGGGGGUACACGCCAGGCGAUGGUAGAUUCGGGCUGCACGCAGUCUACGAUUCACCAGAGCCUGGUUCGGCCGGGAGCAUUGGUGGCAGACCGGGUGAGAAUACGGUGUGUGCAUGGGGAUGUUCACGAGAUUUGCGGGGAAAAAGCAUAGAAUGAAGGUUGCGGUUAGCUCCCGCCUGACGCACCCCGUCAUUUUAAGUACAGAUUGCCUGGGGUUUGAUAAGUUAAUGGGGGGCUGCGGGGUGCGUUUACGACCGACAAGGUUAUGCGAGAUGUGUGCUGUGCUCAGCGGUGACGCGGGGUUGUCCGACACUGCAGAUGGGGAGGGGGGACCCGCGGAGCCUCCCGUAGAGACUCCGCCGGCUCCCGAGUUUCGCUCCAUGGAAGACUUUCCACUCGAACAGUCUCGUAACGAUACCCUACGCUCAGCCUACGACCAAGUGAUACGAAUUGAUGGUCACCUGGUGCGCCCUGACGCAGCGCAGUCAUUUACGCACUUUUCAUUGAUUAGGGACUGACUGUAUAGAGUGAGUCUGACGGGGCAGGAAAACACUCAGUUGCUGGUGCCGAAAAGCCGCCGGGAAAUGAUUUUCCAGGCAGCUCACUAUAACUCGAUGGCUGGUCACAUGGGAUACGAGAAAACGCUAGACCGGAUAAUGACCCGAUUUUAUUGGCCUGACAAUCCGGACAGGACACACACCGGUGGCGCACGUCCUGCCCGGAUUGUCAGUUAGUGAACGCUCCGGCCAUUCCGAGGGCACCGUUGCGUCCUCUGCCGUUGAUGGAGGUUCCGUUCGAGCGGAUCGGUCAAGAACAGAUGUCCCCUUCCCCUCAUGAAUACGGUAUUUGACCAGCUUCAACAGGCACAGAUUUUCACCAAACUGGACUUACGCAACGCUUAUCUGGUUCGCGUUAGGGAGGGGGAUGAGUGGAAAACAGGAUUCAACACGCCAUCCGGACAUCACGAAUAUCUAGUCAUGCCUUUUGGCCUCACCAAUGCCCCAGCAGUGUUUCAAACUAUGAUAAAUGACGUUGAGACUUUUUUGAUCAGUUUGUAUAUGUUUAUAUUGAUGACAUUCUGAUUUAUUCCCCCGACCUAGACACACAUAAGAAUCAUGUUGAACUCGUCCUGCAACGUCUCCUAGACAACGGGUUAUACUUGAAGGCAGAAAAGAGUGAAUUUCAUGCCGAUACUGUCUCCUUCCUGGGCUUUAUCGUAGCUCCUGGAAGGAUUCAGAUGGACCCAGCUAAAGUGAGCGCUGUAGCAGAGUGGCCAACACCUGAUAGCCGCAAAAAAGUGCAGCAAUUCCUCGGUUUUGCAAACUUCUACAGGCGGUUUAUCAGAGACUACAGCGAGACAGCAGCUCCGCUCCAUGCUCACUUCCCAGCAGGAGCCGUUUCACUCGUCCGCGGACGCAGCCUUCCAAGAGCAUAAGCGGCGGUUCACCACAGCACCCAUCCUCACGCUUCCCGAUCACGCUAGCCAGUUCGUGGUGGAGGUGGACGCCUCUAGUGACGGGCUCGGGGUCACGACGACUGACGGCAGCGGAAUGGAACUACGAUGUGGGAGAUUGUGAGCUGCUGGCAGUGAAGGUGGCGCUAGAGGAGUGGCGCCACUGGCUUGAGGGGGCACAGCAUCCGUUUCUGGUUUGGACAGACCACAAGAACCUGCAGUACAUUAAGAAACGUUUAAAUUCCCGUCAAGCCCGCUGGUCUUUGUUUUGUUUUUUUAACCUUUUUGAUUUUUCCCUGUCCUACAGACCGGGGGUCAAUGAGGCGCAGGGGUCGUCGUGGCGCAGGGGUUAGAGAAGGUGUGCUGGGAAGCACAAGGUUGGUGGUUUGAUUCCAGGCUGCCCCAUGUUCCAUGUCGAAGUGUCCCUGAGCAAGACACCGAACCUCUAAUUGCUCCCCGGGCAAAGAUGUGAAAAGCCACGGGUUUAAAGUGUAAUGUAAGUCGCUUUGGAUAAAAGCGUCAGCUAAAUGACCUGUAAUGUAAUGUAAUGUAAUACAAAGCCUGAUCUAUAUCGCCUAUAGAAGCCGAGGUGAAGCUGGCUAACGGUGAGACCCCUCCACCUCGUGGGUGGCCAGACAAUCGUCUUUUUGUCCCUGUUAAUCUGCGCCCACAGGUGAUCCCUGGGCUCACUCGUCUUUGCUCACCUGCCAUCCGGGCGUACGUCAGACCAUGUUCGCCGUCACGCAGAUGUUCUGGUGGCCGCCCAUGGAGGCGGAUGUCCGGGAGUACAUUGAGGCACGCUCCGUCUGCGCCAACUCCUCCAGAACCCGCGCAGUCUUGCUGCAGCCGCUGCCCGACUGGUAAGCAACAAAUACCAGUCCCAAGACUAAUGGGUUUAUACAAGCAGCAAGAGUGCUGCGGACCAGAGAAUAGAAAAAGAAAAAUACUAAAUACGAUGAUGAUAAGUAUCUGAAACUUGCUUGUUCUUAUGUCUAUUCCUAAGACAAAUAGAUACAUGGAGGCCUGUGGACCUGGGACUGUGGAGGGACAAUAUGAGUGGAGUAGAGAGGAGGCCUUCAAAAGACGGGAUGUUGUUGGAUGGAGGAGAGGACUGACAGGUCAUAUAAAAAAUAAAAAAAGGCUGAUGGGGAACAGAAGAGAAAUAAAAAUAAAUAAGUGAUAAAAGAAAAUGUACUUCAAUCAUAGAGGAUGUAAGGUAAUAUUUUUGUGUGAUUCCAGAAUUGAGCAAAUCUGUUAUUUUAACCUCAUGAUGAAUGAAUAAAGAAAAUAAGUUGAUAAAUGGGUUUAUUAAUUGAUUAAAAUGCCACCUUUAGGGUGAGACUAGAAACUAACACCAGCGCACAGAAUAUCUGUCGGUGCAAUUAGGGAUCAAAGAUCUAAAAACAGUUACAACUGAGACAACAAUUGAUGUUAUCAAAGAAUUGUUUAGUAAACCUGUUUCGUCAAAAUGAAAAGCUAUUGGAUUGAUUCAUGAGUGACUGAUGUAAAAGAGUUUAACUCAACAAGAUAUUACUACAAUUUUGGUUUAACUAUAAUAGGUAAUUAAUUAGUUAUACAAAGACUAAAAAGAAAAUUCAUGAAGUAACUCCUCAAUCUGUUUAAGAGAACAAGAAUUGGUGACGUGCACUGAAAUGUUUCUACAGAGAGAGAUAAGAGAUGCACAGGCAUUCUUUAAUACAAAGACGAGAGAAGACUAAACAAAUCUUUGUUGGAACAACAAAGGGUUUUGAGAAACUGACGUGUCACUGAACAGUGGGCAGAUGUGGGGGGGUUGCUGUAUGAGUGCGGUGGGGGCCAACAAGGCAGCCCAAAAGGUUAGUUCUCUUUUGGAGUAACUCAAGCAAUGCUCAAACAGUGUUAAAUAAAAUGAAUGAGUGCAAAUAUUUAUCUCUGCUAUAAUUGGAUUAUGCACUUCACUUAAAUACAAGGGCAUACGCAUUCUCCAUUCAGUUUGGCUUUUAAUUAAGAAUAAGCUCAUAAUUGCUGGGAUGUAAAGAUUUAAAACAAAACAUUUACACAAACAAGCGGAUUGUAGAGGACAUUUUAUGACAUCAACCAACAGAUCUAUAAAAACAUAGAUAAUUGGUAUUACAACUAAAGUAAAAUACAAAAAAAAAAUGCAUUGAUUGUGAAAGAAACAAUUGUGUUUUAAAUUAAACUAAUGCAUUGAUGUCGCCAGCCCUAUUGGUUAGCCUUCUUUUCAACAUCAGACCCCUGGCUACAAUAAGCCCUAAACUACUUAAAAAUACUCCAAACACAACUUUAGUGGGUGGGGUAAGUAGAUAAGUAAAAACAUAAUCCAUGCAAAUUUUUCAGAAACUUUGGACUUGACUGACCAAAAGUGCGAUAUUCUUAUGAGUUAUGCUGAAUUACCAUUGGAGACCAUAAAUAACAUGAGCAGAACGCGCUGAUUACGGUGAUAUAAGUAGGGCUGUGUACAUUAACGCAUUAAUCUAUGCAAUUAAUGUGGCCUAGAUUAAUGCAACAAAAUAUUUAAAGUUAACAUUUGUUUGUUUACUUGCGGUUUACUUAUGAAGUAUCAUUUCGCUCAGACAAACCAUGCCGAACCUCCAGUACAAAACCCAUCAAGCCAUGGAAGCGAAAAAAUCAUAAAUGUGGCUUAUGUUUGUUGUUUUUUACAGAAAUCAUGGAUUUAAUCCGGUGUUUUUUGCAAUGGCUGAUUAAAUGAAGCGUGAGCAAUUCCGUUUGUCUGAUGUGAGGUUGACAGGGAUUGCAUGCCGUAAUUUUCAAGCGGGAGCUGCUGCCUGGAGGAACGCUGUCGUCAAUCCCCCUGGUUUAACGCAUGCGCUCACUCAGAGUACGACCCCCAGUGGACUUUUUAGGAAUAGCAGCUACUUACUGUCUUUGUUAUUUUUAUACGUAGCAAAGUCAUCUGGCGAGCCGCAUUGGACCCCCGGAUCUGUAAGUAUGUUGGACAUACGAGGAAAUUCUUCCUGGUGGGUGGUGGAUUCAUCGAACAAAAGAGAAUAAUGUAAUACUUGUAGCCAAAACUGUCAUGUUGGUUGUGGUGCCAGAACAAAGAGCAGAACACAACAGAAGUUGUUUAACAGUCUCUAUUAGAAAGAACCAGGGGCUGGAAUGUGGUGAGCAGGCUGGAGGAAUGGUCGACAGACUGGAGUAGGCUGGGUCCACAAUCCGGGAAACCCAGAGGCCCAGAGAACCUUAGGCUGAGGCAGACAUAAGGCUUUAACAAGGUGGCAGCAGUUUUAGCCUUUAGUAUUAGCAUUAGUAUUAGUUCCUGUUUUGCGAACUAACGAUCUGCCAAAGAUCAGUGGAGGGCUGGAGAAUAUUAAGCCUGGUCCUUGAUUGAGGAAUGCAUUCCAGCUGGGGUGGUCAAUUAAUGGGAGGAGCACAACAGUGACCAUGACACUACUCUUAGAAGCGUGACACAAUAUUCCUGUUGGAAGUUUGUUCUGGCACAGUUUGCCCCCUUAGACAGAAUUGGAUUCAAGAGACAGGUUGAAGGUUUGGACUUACAAAUUCAGUUGAUUAUGGUUGAUGGGAGAGAAGCAAGUAUGUAUCAGAGCCCACAGAUGUAUCCAAGGUUCCUACACUGGAGAACAGCUUGAAGACAGGAGACCAUCAAUUUUUUCUCCAAUAGAAUCUUAUCAUUAAAGAAGUUCAUAAAGUAAACUGCAACUGAGGUCCAAAGGAAGACCGGGCUAAACAGAGUGGGUACAGAGUUGAAGAAACUUUUUUUCUCUAUUAACGAUGAGUAAUGAGCUGCUCUUGCAUUACAAAGAGCCUUCCUAUAUAAUGUAAGGCUGUCUUGCCAAACUAGAUGGUUCUCAAUUGGUGAAACACCUUAACGGUUGAAGUUUCUGCAAUUUGCUUUAAGUUGCAGGUUUGAGGGUUAUACCAAGGAUCAAACUUCUAGUUACCAUUCUCCUUUGUAGGAGAAUCUGGGAUUCAAACAUAUCUAGCACUCUAAUAGUUGUAUGUUCUUUUUGAGUGCUUGAAUAAAUUGAAUUGAUUGAUUGAAGAAAUAAAUGUUAUUUGAUUUUAAACCAUUAUGGUGCGUUCACACCUAAAGCCAAGUGAAUUAUUUGCGCGAGUAGAUUCCAUGUAAAGUCGAUGCACCAACGCGUCUGGUCUGGUCACUUAGGGCAAAAUAUUCGCCCGACACUGUCUAGUAGUGAUGGGAAGUUCGGAUCAUUUUACCGACUUGGUUCUUUGAAUCUCUUCAGUAAAAUGAACAAAUCUUUUUUCGAGUCAUUCGUUCAUUUCUGGGGGGGUGGUAAGAUAAAUUCCUGCAUUAAAAUGAUGUAUCAUGACAGUCUGGAUGAUUUGAAGUGAUCAUUUAUUUUCACCCUAGCAUUCAACUAUCACGGCAUAACUAUUACGCUGAACUCUAAGUAAAGUACAAAAAAGUUAAAAUAUCGAAACCUGCAAUUAUUACUUGUGAAGGAAUAUCAUUCACGUCUCACUAAACCUAGCCACGCGAAAGUGAACGAGGUAAACAAAUCCUUUGUGUUUCCUCUUCUGAGCGCAGGUCACGUGAAAAAUGAUCCUAAGAUCCGUAUCCGAAGACCCAGUCAAAAUGAACGAAUCAUUUCUGUUUUCUCUACCAGUGCUGAGCCUAUGCAGGUCACGUGAAAAAUGAUCUAAAGAUCUGUAUCCGGCAGAUGAACGAAUCGUUCACCUCCCGACCGUGUCUUCGGGUCAAUGUUUCGUUCAUCUGCCAACCGAGUCUUCGGGUCAAUGAUUCGUUCAUUUUUCACGUGACCUGCAUAGGCUCAGCACUGGUACCACUUGGUUGGCAGAAGGAUCAUUUUCCACGUGACCUGCAUUCAACGAAUCAUUUCUGUUUCCUUGGCUGAGCCUAUGCAAAUCCCGAUGCGUGGCCACGAGAAAAUAAACAACUCUUUUUUUGAGAGGACUCGUUACUCUCGAGUCCUUGUAAGGAUUCGUUCAAAAUGAACGAAUCGUUCAUGAACGACACAUCACUACAGUCUAGCAAAAUCUAAUUAGUGUUGAGAUGCUUCGCUCGUCAUCACCGCCGUCCUGCUGCCACAGCGUGAAUACACGUUAUUAAACGGCCGCUCAAGAUAGUUUGUGUGUAACCGAGAGACGCCGGCACCGAGCCGACACAACGGGUCAUCAGACCGGCUGCUGGUUCGCCUGAAGCAGCGGUGGAAGCCGUAGUCAUCCAGACGUACUUCCCAGAGGAGUCGGUGACAUUCAAGCUGUGUGCGGCGACGGAUGAUGUCAUGAACCCGAACACAACACCGUUUGCAGUGCCGACGUUUGUGUAAUUCACACAACUAAUAAAGAGCAGACAUUGUGGUUAUUUAUUGCCAUGGCCAACUGUCUUUAUGGAGACACGUAAAUGAGAUAAGCCACGCCCCCUUCCAGGCGCGAAUGAAGCGGAAAAAAUGGGACGCGAAAUGAGGUGAAAUAACCCGCGAGUAAACUUGCGUAAGUAAACUUGAGUAAAGAGGGGCGAAAAUUCGCUUCGCUCUUGGUGUGAACGCACCAUUAGCCUUGAGUUGUUGUUACCUAGGCUUUCUGAGGAUGUGGCAAAAGUUGCAAACUAGCAAAGACAAACUUUGUCAAAAAGGUAAUUUGUUAAUCUACACUGAGAAGAUUGAACUAUUUUUACAGUAGGCCUUUUAUUAAAAGACUAACAUUUACAUCUAUUACGUCCCCCUUUUUGUCUGGGCAUAAGGGAGCGCAACCCCGCAAGCCCUGGUGGAGCAGCUACCAAAGGUAUGGGGUCGUAGUGUGAGCGCUAAUCCCCCCCCCCUGCUAUACUACCUCGGGCACGGGUGAGGCACGCUAACCAAAAGUACAGGGAGUGGUCUGCCCAGCUCUUGCCUAGUGAAUUUAGACAGGGAGUCAGCUACGGGUGGUGUAUACCCAUGGGUCUCUUCCCUAACAAAUCCCCCCCCCCUGCAACACAGGAAGAAAAGUAAAUAUAAUAAACAGUAAACAAAAAAUGUAACAUACAUACUAAACCUCUCACCAGCUGCAUCCAAUAAUGAAAAGGGGGAGGAGUCCAGGUAGGUCGUUGUCCAAUCGGCAGUGAACCUUGGGUGAAGGGCAGCCAUCUUGCAUGCAGAGAUCCUGGAGAGACAGGACACAAACCAAAACAAACACCCCCAAAAUGUAACAACAUCUCAUUAACUACAACCAAAAAAACUGAAAACAAGCAGUUCUGUGAUUCACCACCUGUGUAUGAGCCAGAGACAGUUCCCUGCCACUCAGAUGAUUCAGCUGUUAGAUUGUCAGUUGAUCAGGCGAUAGCUGAUCAUUCACAUACACCCAUGUUUUUUGGCUGAUGAAAGCUUGAUGUGUGUAUUUCAUCAAAAUAACAGGUAUGUAGGCAUUUACCUUUUGGAAUUAGUUCAGGAUUAUUAAAAUAACUUUCAGACAAUUCGCUGCAACCAGAAGCCAAACCUUUAAGCAAGAUGAGUCAAAUCCACUGAGGAUUCACAUGUGGGUCUGGAGGUGAACAAAAGGGUAAUGAGGAGUACUAAAUUCGUCUUUCAUUAUGAACUUGCACCUCUCAGCUAUUUCUUUGUAUAUUCUUGUCUCAUGCAUUUUUCUUCACACUUCACUUCCCCUGUCCUAUUCUACCUCGUUACUUCUUUAUCUCCUUUCUUUCUUUUCCUACCCUUUUAUUUUGUCUGUCUCAUUCCAUCUCUCUAUUCACAUAACCUCCGUCUCGUCAUUGUCCCUCACACUCUAGCCCUCCGGAAAAAAGAAAAUGGGAAAACGGCAAAUCCCACAGCCUCUUACGGCACCCGUGUUUACCAACCCAUAAUGCCGUUCUCAAAUUUCUUUAGCUCCCAAUAUCGUUCCUUGUGUGUAUGUACCCCAACUGCACCACCGCCCUCCACCUUUCCUUUAUUGCCCAACAAAGGCAGCAAAUGCUGUAUUUUCAGCGGCAAAACCUCCUGCAAUGUUACCCCCACACCCACCACUGCUGAUUGUUAUAGUGGUAUAUAUACUGAACCAUCAAACUGUUUACUGCUGCAAACCUGGAGACUAAGAGGGGAGACUGCCAAAAGCUAUGCACACAUAAGUUGAGAGAGUGAAAGAGAGACGGCAUCAACACAACCACUGACUCAAGAUUAGGCCUCGCUCCGAGCUGUUAAGGAUUUCAACAUGCACCUUCUUUUAGCUUAAUAAGGGCUGGAGGGGUUAGGUGAGGGUGGCAGCGUGAAAGAAAGCGCAAAAUGAAAAGUGCAUAAUAAUGCAUGUAUUCAUCUUUUAAAGAAGUGCGUGGAAAGUAAUGGAUGUCACCGCUGGGUACAUCAUUGACACCUUGCCAAUGCUGGAUGGAUAAUUGAAGUCUGGGGUUUUUCAAAAGGGAUGCGAAGAGGGGAAAGUUAUAAUACCCAGGUGGAAUGAAAGGAUGUGUUCUGUAUGCCAAAACACUGUGCUUACGGUCUCUUUAGGAGCUGAGCACACACAUUAGACAAUGGUAUUUUGCUGUUUUUUUCCCGACUUCACUCAUACAGACAGACAUGCAAUGCAGAUACAAGAGAUAUGAUAAAGGAGAAAGCACCUAUUUGAUGUCAGAAACAAACAGUGCAGUCAACUUGGGCUAAGAACCGUUUUCACAGUAUAAGUAAGUUCACACAAUUUACAGAUACUGUUGAAGGCUGACCGUCAUUCUGCUAUACAUUAGUUGUAGAGAGGCUAGUAGUUUGCUUGGUGAGUGGACCGACAGAAGCACAAGGGGUUCAAAGGAAGCCGUACACAGACAUAGAGGAUCUGACUAAUGUGCACACUAUGCAUGAUUUGUGGGCAUGCACGAAUGUCAUCUUCAACCAGAAGAGUGAAGCAUGCAACGCUGUGUGUUGGGGAGAGGAUAGACAUUUGCUCUGCUCCGAUUCAGCUUGAGCUGUUUACAGAGGACACAAGUUCUUUGUCUUUUUCAACUGUAUUUCUGACAAUAGUGUUCAACGCCCUGUCAAAACAAUAUAGUGGUAGAAGUACUCAAAAUAGUGAGUUGGUCCUCGAGAAUGAGGAAGGCAGUGACACCACUUGUCAACAGGUAUGUCAUGAACUUACAUGGUAAAUGUAAGCAGAGUUUAAGAACGAGUGUGUUCAAACCAGAAAAUAAGGACAACAAACUUGAUGUCAGCAUGCAGACAAAGAAAUUGUGUGCUCUUGAUGGAUACUACUCCCCCACAAUGCAAUACAUUGAAAACAUAAUUGUUGCUGGUGAAAAAGCCCAGGGGAAAAAUAAAUAAUACAAAAUUAAAGCUUAAAGGCUGGCGCAUGCUUCUGCGUUGUUGCGUCAACGCACUCGUUUCAAUUCAUGGUUCUAAAGUCUUGUUUUUGUUGAAGACGACCUAGAGCGUCAGGUCUUAGUGUGUGGAAGUCGUUCAUAGACUUUAUUGCCCCGUGCAUCGCCACUGCUGCUUUUCAUCGCGGACACAUUUGUCCCGUAUUUUCCUCCACAACUUUGUUCCCCUCGACCGGCAAACAGACGUUUGAAGGGAAAUCUCCGUUCAUGAAUCAGAGGCCAUCCGCGCGUCCUUAUAGUACGCCAAUGAAGGCUUGUAUAAGCGGUCAAAUUUACGCAUUUCUUCCGACAAAAGUUCUUCAAUCUGAUCCGUUCUCUCGUAAACAUUCUUCGUUUUAAUAAUGGCGGUAUUGGGCUAUGAAAACGGAAAUGUGAGACUCCGUAAAGGAUGUAGUUAGCAGACCAAUGGCAGCCUUGUGCGCUGCGGGCGGCUUGCAUCGCUUUCGACGCAAGCCUAAAAAAAUGGGUCAACGCACGCAAGCACGCAAAGAGGUGUGAAAAGGCACGCAAGGGACACGCAAGGGGCUCUUCCGUAAAGCAUAAACUAGGCUUUAAGCAGAAGUUGUCGGGCCCGCUAGCCCGCUGCCAUGCAUUUCUGUGGCCAUCAGACGCCGCUUGCACAAGUUCACAUGGUAUUUUCCUGUGUGUACCAGCAUCUUGUCAGAUCAUAAACCUUCAAUAUUUUGAAUGUAUCUCGGAAUAUAGUUAUAAAUGUAAGCCGGUAAAGAUCGACAAAAGACGGUGAGUGAUUCAUAGCCGAAAAAGUCUUGGAAAUUAGUGGACUGUAUGCGUAUAUCCAUGUGAAAAAAGCAAAUAAAAAACGUUUGUAGAAAUACAUUUAAACCUGUUGUAUAAUAAAUAAUAUAAAUGUUACCGGGUGACGCUUAAGUGUAUUUUACUCAUUUUGAAUAAUUAUUUAACAAAUUUUCUGUUUUCUGAUUUUCUGUUUGCCAUUUUGAGCAUUAACCCAAUUUAAUUUAUAGUUCACCUAUGUAUGCUUUAUUAAUCCCCGUGGGGAGAUUAAUUUAAACAGUCAAAUGCAGAUAUAAAAGAUAAUCAAAAAUUGCUGAAAAUGCAUAAAUUAGAAAAAUUGAAAUUUAUUUUUAUAUAUUGCUGAAAAUACAGAAAUAAAAAAGCUGGAAUUAAUUUUUAAAAACUGCUGAAGAUUUGGAAAUGAGAAAAGUUCAAAUAAAUUUCAAAAGAGUUUAAAAAAUGUACACCCUUUGCUUACUUUGAGAAAUAUGUCAGAAGAUUUGCAUUGGUCUCUACGGACCAAUAUUUGGACAUUGUUUUUCUUGUUGUUCUGUGGCUCAAAGCAAACAUCUGUGGGAUUCCAUAGCCACAUGACUACGACUAGCACAGGCAUCCAUUGUUUUAUCCAAAAAUGAUGUAUGAAGAGUGAAUAUUGUGGCAAUGGUAAAUUAACUCUACAGCGCUUUUCUAGUCUCCCGACCACCACUCAACGUGCUUUAACACUACAUGACACAUCACUCACCCAUUCACCCACUGAUAACAGGAGAACCAUACACAGUGCCACCUGCCCAUCGAUAACUAACAUUCACACAGGAGCAAUAUUGGGUUAAGUGUCUUGCCCAAGGACACAUUGACAUGCAGGUUAGCUGGGCCUGGGAUCGAACCACCAAGCAUUUGAUUGGAGGGCGACAGUGCUCCACAGCCGCCCUUGUAGGCAAUGAGAACAAACUAGAAAUAUUUUUUCGGUUGGUUAGGUUAAUAUUUUUAACCACAUUCUGACAGUGCUCUCCCCUUUUUAGCUCUUCAGUAUUCACUCUAACCGGCCCCAUAAAUAUCUAUCGUCAAACCGCUUAUCCUGCACAGAGGGUCGUGGGGUGGCUGGAGUCUAUCCCAGCCAACUUCGGGCGAGAGACGGCAUACGCCCUGGACUGGUCGCCAGGGCAAACACAGAGACAUACAACCAUUCACACUCAAACACCUACAGGCAAUUUAGAUUCACAAAUCAAUCUGAUCCCGAGUGCAUGUUACCGUGACCAACAAGACGAGAGAAACUUUGUGAUCAACCAAUGCUUAAUCGAUCGCAUUGCAGUUAAAAAAAAUGUAUUAUCAGCAAAGUCAAUGUUAGGAGGUUAGCAACAUGCUAAGGCUAAAUAUAUGUGAGGGGUGGGACCUUAGGACCUGGGAGCCUCAGCAUAGAGCGGGAGGCUUAAACUCAAGGAGAGCCUCUCCAUAUAAAGGAGAUCCCGUGAGAGUUGAGGAACUCACGUUUAUUCUCGUUGUCCGGCAUGUGCUGAAGUCUGGGUUGCUUUGUUUGUUGCUCGCCAGUACCGUGCGGGUGAGCAAACUGUACUAAGGAGAAGGUCAGACCUGAACCAGACCUGGUGAGCCCAGGGUCCUACCUGCUGGUGCACAGGUGCAUUGGGCCAAGGAGGUAGGAAGUUGGGCUUGCAAGCACAUUAUGCGUUUUGUAAUGAGAAGGAUGAUGGGUACUUGGUGAUUAAUGGCUGUUUUGUGCAUUUCAGGCUGAACUGGUGACACGCAGUGGUCAGCAGGACAGCCACUGCUCUUUUUCUCAGACCAUAGUUUUAGUUUAGAUUGUGCUCCAGUGCCUCCAUCUUGCUCCCUCUAUUUAUAGAAAUAACACACUGAUAUUGUGCCCUUUUGAUGACCGUUGCUUCCCCCUUCCCCACUUCUAUUGUGUUGUGUCUUUUAACCAGGAUCAGUAAUCGUAUUUGAGUGUGUUGGUUUGUAAUGUUGCUUAUUUUAGCCUUUCUUAACAGUGUGCAGUGUUUUUAUUGUUGGAAGUGUCAUUGUGCCCCCGGUCAAUCACUACUGGUAUAAAUUAUUUGGAUGUGGUUUUAUAAAGUUAUUGUUUAAAUAAAAGUGAUAUUGCAUUGUACACGCAGAAGCCUCUGUCUGUCUAUGAUCUACCUCGUAUGGGGUUUUGGCCAAUAAGAUAAUUGAAUUCAGGGUCUCUCCCCUCCAAAGAGAGUGGCGUUGUCACGUCUGGAUACUAUUCCCAAAGUAUUUUAAGUGUCCAUUAGGUCACAUAUAAAUCUCAGGCUAAAGUCGGCAUCUUAUUGUUAAAAAUAAAUGUCCGUCUGUACGAAUAAAGGCAAGCCGCACGAACAUGUUUGAUCCGCCGUGUUUGGAUGUCAAUGUAGCCAUGAACAUCAAUUGUUGAUGAUGUGUUUGUGUUUGGCGCCGCCGCGCUAACGUUGCUGGGAAAGAUGAGACGUAACUGUGACAUAGGACUUGGCUCUGCGCUGGCUCUUUAGCCUGUGGAAAAGCAAACCGGUUCUUUAGAGGCUCGUCAGUUGAACCAACUUCGAACCGGCUCUAGCUCUGGCUCCGAACCAGGACGUGGUUCUUGUUGGUGGAAAAGGGAUAUAUGUGUCCUAAGAAGCCCCCCAGCAGUCUAGGCCUAUAGCAGCUUAACUAAGGGCUGGUCCAGGCUAACCUGAGCCAGCCCUAACUAUAAGCAGAAUCAAAGAGGAAAGUUUUAAGUUUUACUUUAAAAGAGCUGACCGAAUCUGCCCCCCGGACUGAAAGUGGAACCUGGUUCCACAAAAGAGGAGCUUGAUAACUGAAGGCUCUGGCCCCCAGCCUACUUUUUAAAACCAUAGGAACAACAAGUAACCCAGCAUCUAUGGAGCGCAGCUGCCUUGUAGGGCAAUAAGGUGUUACAAGCUCUUUAAGAUACAACGGUGCCUCACCAGCAAGUGCCUUGUAGGUGAGGAGAAGUACCUUAAAAUCUAUUCUUGAUUUAACAGGGAGCCAGUGCAGAGAAGUUAAUACAGGAGUGAUAUGAUCCCUUUUCUUAGUUCUUGUUAAUAUAUCAGGCUAACCAGCAGCCAGUUAAAUAACCUGUUGGGUCGGAUCGGUGCCAGCGUCGCUCGAUUAGACACCAGCUAACUUACAAGGAGUUCAGAUUCAUGACGUACAUUCACGCUCUGGCAGCAGAACGGCAGUCAUGACGAGCACAGCAUCUCAAUGCUGAUUGGCUUUUGCAAGACAGCAUAAAGGGAAUUUUUUUGUUUAAUUAUGCAACUUUGAAAUAUUCAAAUAUUUCGACUUUGGCGAAAAAGCGCUUUAUUCGUUUUGCUCCUUUUGCGUUUUCUGCGCCGCGCGUUGAAAAUUUGCUUCCUCAGCAACUAUUCGCGUCAUUGACUUUGCAUGGAAUCUACUCAUGCGAAUAAUUUGCUUCGCUUUUGCCGUGAACACAGCACAAGUGUGGAGGAAAGUCUUAAGCUUUAUCUUAAAUGAAGUGACUGUAUCUGCACCCUGGAGAUGAAAGGGAAAGCUGGUUCCACAAAAGAGGAACUCGAUAACUGAAGGCUCUGGCUUCCUUCCUACUUUUUAAAACUUUAGGAACAAUAAGUAACCCAGCAUUUAUGGAGCGUGGCUCUCUAGUAGGGCAGUAUGGUAUUAUAAGCUACCAUUACGUGACUUGCAAAUGUGACUUGUGAAGGCAAUUGGUUGCACCAGUCCACAAAACGUGGAAAUUUACAUGGCGGGUGAGUACUUAUGCAAGGCACUGUAAAUUUUGAAAGAUUUCAUUAAUUUCUUAUCACAAGGUUAACUCCAAAAAUUACUCAAUGGAUUUAAUUCUUGUCUCUUUUGCUUUAAAAAAAAUAAAUCGCAACAUUUCUGACACAGAUGUUUAACGUUAAAGCGUACCAACAGUGUAAGAUUACAAAAGUAAAAUCAUCCCUCUUUCCAAUCUCUGGUUCUUUUAAUUUUAUAUAUUUUGUUUAGAAGCAUUGGGUUUCAUUAAUUCUAGCAUCAAAAAAUAAAGGCGACUUCCUGUCACGGGGAUCUCGAGGUGAGGACUCGGACGCAGAUGUGUCCGGGUGUGCACAGCAAAAGGACAUAAUCAGGAAACAUUUAUUACCAAAAUAUGUCAAACAUACAAGGAAUUUGUCUUGGCGGUUGGUGCACGACCGUAGACAGUGUGACAAUAGACAACAAGACAGCAGUGCACAAGUAAUAAAAUAAAGUAAAAUGAAAUGCUGAUGCAAUGGGUUAGUAGAAUAAGGCUAUGGGUUAGUAUAAAACAAGGGAAUAAAAACACACUGGCACAAGACAAGGGGAGACGCAGACUAUAAGUACACAUGAGGGAAGUGUGGGAACAGGUGGACACGAUCAGGAAUCAGGGAAAACAAUUAAACUGGUGACACAUGAGGAGGGGCUAGGAACCUGAAACAACAGGAGGGUUAAUUAUCAAAAUAAAACAGGAAGUCACAAAACAACCAUUGAGACGGGACAGAAGCCCAACUUGACCUACAGGUGUGACACUUCCAUUAUUUUGUGAGUCUAUUUGCUGAAAAGAGAAACUAAACAGAGCAUAGUAGCGUUUGACAAAAUUAUAUAAUUUUACUGGUGAAUUAAUACUGUACAAUUACUCAUUAUGGAGAAUUCACCCUGCAAGCCAUUUUUUCGCUUUCACCAACUAUUUUACUACUUUUUAUAGCCUGAACCCUUCUUUGAAUACCAGUCUAUAUGUGAUAAUAUAAGGUGAAUAUCUUGAUUGUUGAAUUGCAUUUUACAGUCAUAUGUAUUAUUAUUAUUAUUAUGUACACUAUUCUCAUAAAUUGGCUGCCUUGCAAACACUGCAUUUGGCCAUGCUGCAAUAAUAAUCCAGCCUUCAUUACAGCUCCUCCAAAAAAGUCAGGACAUUGAUGUACAAGCGUAUCUCAGGAGAGAGUGUCUGUUUACCAAUCAAUCUGUUCCACCCUGACAUGUUCCAAGUCCGAGUGUCAUUAUGGCCACUGUUUGGUGCUAUAAAACAGAGUUGGACAGUGCUGAUAGCAGUGAGGGAUAUGGAUGGGCCUGUUUCAAGUUAGACAGCAGCAUCGCAAUACAUCUUCCAGCGUAGAGGCCUGUCAUCGUCAUACUGCCAGGAUGGGUUUGUCAUAGAGGUAUGCACACGUGCAUGUCCAGUAUCCAUGCAUAACACUGACGGGUGCAGAGUAGCGUAGACUAAGCACACACUUCAAUACACAUACAUUUUUGUGGUGAAAACCUUAUUUCUCCCUUGUACCAUCUUCCUAUCACCGGUCCCAUCACACCAUCCUAAAACACACACAACAUCCAACAUCCCCCCUCCCACACAUACAGUCCUUUCUUCCUUAGAUGUGUCUGUACACGAUUCCCUGGCCGCAAAUCCUUUAGUGGGAUGGAUGAACGUCUACAGCCCAUUCAUCAUCCGCCUUAUCCGCCACCUCACCACUUUUUUUACAUCAGCCAGCAGUCACACUGACAACUGAUGGCCCUCCCGCACCUUCUACCCCUCUCCCUUGCCCCCCCCUACAUCCUCAACUAAGUCUUUCUCGUGCCAUUUCUCUUUUUUCUCACUCCCCAGUGCCCUACUUGCUUUGCAUGCACGUCUAAAAAUGUGCAUUUUGUGCACGCAUUCUCAUCCACCCACUUUCUCUUCCUUCUUGCCUGCUCAUACAGACUUCCUUCUUCCCACCCGCUCUUUAUCUCCUGCCCUCCCCUCUAGCCUUACCCUCUCUACGUCCCUCUCCAUCUAUCUAUCUCUCUCCUGUGCACUGUUGGGACCAGAGUGGCACCUCAGAGCGGACCGUAAAAAGGCCCCAUAAAAAGCCCCAACACAAGGAAGAAAGGGUAAUGAUGAAAUUUAACUGCUCCUCUUGGUGCACCUGGGGUCUGGCUCUGCAUGUGUGUGUGGAUACACGAGUGUGUGUUGUGUAUGUGUUUGUGUGUGUUUGGCAAGCAGGGGGCCUGGGCACUGAACCGGAACUGCCCUGCUAGAGGGGUCAAUGUCACGGUACCCCAAUGAGAGUUAUCGCUUUUUAAGACGUACUAUAGAUUUUGUGAGGGAACUCAUUUACACCGGCAUAAAAUAGAAGGUGGCAGGGGAAGUUUAAAAUCUAAAAAGGACAGGGAAUUGGGAGACUGGGAGGAAAAUAGGUAAGAUGGCUCGAGUGGCCUCACCGGUGUGAUACCGAUUAACCUUUUGUGGAGGAUGGAGACUGAUUUUUUGGAUGGACUGAAACAAAAUCAAAUCUAGGACACCAUUAAAUUCACAGUGGUAUGAGUUCAAAUUAUGUCUUUUGCUUUUUAGAUGUAGCACACACUUUAAUGCAGUAUACUGUGUACAGUAUAUGUCAAUAAAAUCCACAUGGAGUUAUGUCCACUGCUGAUGCCGAAAUAGUAUGUUGUUAAACUGAUUUAUGAAGUGUGUUGCAUCAACAUUUUUUAAUCUUUUAUUGAUUCAGGGGUGCCAUAACGGCAAUGAAUACACCCCAUUAAAAUAUAAUGGUCUUGUAGUGCAUGUUUGUUGAUGCAAGUUAAAUUCUCCAACUGUGUGUGUGUGGUUAAAGCCUGCACCUCUAGGCCUGUAUGUCAGGGCAGGACUAUUUUCAGUUCAGUUACUGGCUUGAGCCCAGCACCCUUCCAAGGCUCAGAUGCUGGCUCACUGGCCUUUCCCUGCCUCCCACCUGUCCCUGGCUGCAAGCCUCCUCGGCUGGCCCGCCGGCGUGGAAAAUCAGCCUUUGAUGGGCCUGUGGGGACUGAAAGGGGGGGGUGGCUGGGGUUGAGGAAACGAUGAAAUCCCCGGGAGGAGCAGCAUGCACUGACUGACAGGGCUUGACACUGAAGAGGCCCACAGCUCAGGCCUGGCAUAUUUCCUCCACCAAUGACUGUCGGCCUCUUGACUGGCCGGCAGAGCUGGAUCCCAUACCCCAUGUGUCUUCCAUGCCUCUAUGUAAGGUGGCAUUUUUUAUUUAAGAAAUAUCCCGAUGUAAUAAAAGCUGUGCUAAACCAGAUCAUAUCCAACAUUGCAACCUCUCUCUAAAUGACUAACUAAUGCUGCAACCUGAAAACCCAACGUAUGAUUUGUGGUUUUCUCAUUGUAACACAGCAAGAGACUUAUUUUGUAACAUAAAUCUGUUGUAGUCAAAUCAUGAUAUAUUGUAUUCAAUUACAAACAUGAAAUAAACUGCAUUGCAAAAUUGCCACACGACUUUUCUUUUUGUAGCCUUUUAGUUUAUUCUGUCGAUUACAUAAUAAUAUACAUGACAUACAAAAAUAAUUAAUACGGAAUAUCUGAAGAUUGAAACGAGUAAUAAACAUUAGCACCGAGCUGCAGAAAAAAUUAUUUAGAAGACAAAACUAUAAUCAUUACCCAAAGUAUUUGUUGUAACAUCCAUCACAAAGUAGAGACCAGUUUCCUUAUUCAACUUUGACCUCCUAUGGUUACUUAAGGCUAAACCUUUAAAUAGUUUACCUGAAUAAUCAUCUAAUUACUUGAGCGUGUUACCUAGCUGAACCUCUUUGCAGCAAUGUUGCUGUGGCUAUUGAGUAACCAUGUCUUUAAAGGAGCAUAUUGUAUUCAUAGCUAAUCAAAGUAAUGACAAAAGAUAAACACAUGAGAUGCACAAUUGAUACACCAUCACCGCUGUUCAAUAGGGGCACAUUAAAUAACAGCAUUAGAGUCAUCAAGAAACAUUGUCAUGGCAUAACCACGAGUCAUCUAAGAAAAAUCUUGCCUUUUUCUCCCUAACCUUACCUCUAAGGACAACCAUUUCUCUCACCUUAAGUAACUUAGUGGGAGACAAGUUUGAUGGGUCGAACAAACAAACUUAAUUUUCUUGCAGAAAAACGCUGUUUAGUUAUUUUUAGAAAUAAAAAGUAAAGCUACCAUUUUUCUCAAAAAUUUGUCAUGAAAGUUGUUACUGUUGAAAUUCACAUAUGUAGUAACGUAUCAGGUCAUGUUAACGUCAAACAUUUCCCAAACUAGGUGGUUUUAUUGCUUCCUAGGAUAUGUAUUUCAAAAGGUGAAAUGCAUUUAACAAGCUUAUAUAGACAAAGUGAUGCGAGAGGGGUGCAGAAGAUGUGAAAGUUUGAAGCUUAGUGCCGCAGACCAAGCUGCCUUUUUUGACGCAUUGUUUUUGCAAGAGACCAGGUAUCAUUUAGUGGAUAUGUAUUAGUAGGCUUUGAGUUUUGGACUGAUGGACAUUUUUUGGCAUCAACUAUAUCCCAUCUUUUCAAUAUACCACCCUAUGAAACAUUUGCCAUGUAUAUAUUACUUACACUUUUGUCAAAACAGCUUACUGCUAAAAGGAUUAGAUUGACACACAUAUAAACACAAACAUGCUAAUCCUCAUUAGCACUGCUGAAAGCCCCUCUGAUGCAGGGUACAUGUAGCCAGGCAGGAGAGUGGGAGGCUAAAGUCAGAUAGCUGCAAAUGCAAAUGAUUGAUUUGAUUUUGGAGUGCACACACACACACACAGCCACACACAUAGUGUACUCAAAGACUAAACACAUUGUGUGGUUUUCUUGCAUCUUGUGGAAUUUUAUUGAUAGAGAGAGUGAUUGUAAAUGAAAUAAGGGGUCGAAGAGGAGGGAAGUGGUAGAAGACACGGAUGUUCAGCCAACAGUGCUGGCUCACACCACAAGCUCCCACUCGGUUUUUGGAUCCGACAACCCCAAUGUAAUAACAGAUAAAUAGAGAGGGCUUGUCAGGCCACAAAAGCAUUGGGCUUGCCAAAGAGAACGGAGGGAGUGAGUGUAUGUAUUUGUGCAUGUAGAAACAGUAGCGACUGGGAGAAAGAGCUAAUAGCUGACAUCUGGCACGAUUUGCACCCAUCUGAGGCCUGUGCUCGAGCCUUGCACUCUUAUGCUGAAUGAUAAAGCAGAAGGAUUGAAUCGGCACACUUGCAAAUCCCCCGGCCAGCCCUGGGGGUAUGGGGAGAAAAGCCUCAUCCAGCCUUUCAACAGUUAAUGUGCCAAUUUGUUUUCCAGAGUGCUCGAAGGAAGAAUGUAUCGCCAUGUUUUGAGGCAAUGGGUAAAUGCUAAUAAAAUGCUCUUUUGCCGAAAUUAAUUUAGUUGGCCACAGGAGGGUUGAAGAGCUGGAGGAGAAAGAGGAGAUCUGGCCCUUGCCAAGGCCAUGUUUGCAGACGUUCACAGAGACCCCACUGCCAUGUUAAAUGCCCCCCGCUACACACACACAAACAACUAUUAACCAAUUUGAAACACUCAUCAUCUAUCGCUAACCUAUCCACAGCAGUUACACAAUUUAAGGAAGUAGCUCUGCUUUGGUUUUCAUUAACAAGUGAGAAUAAUGUAUUUACACUCUUUAGCUGCUAAAUCUUCCAAUAUGCUUACAAACCAGGCAGUAUCUUGCUGAUUCAGUACAUGUUCAGUCAGCAAAUCAGGCUGUGUGAAAAUGCAAAUAAAUCCUAUUCAAGUAUUACUUAACAACAUAAUAAUUUUAUGGUGGAGCAACAGUGCUGUCAGCCUUCAGGCCUGGAGUAUAUUAUUUGCCAAAUGAAAUGCUGCAUCCUGCUCACAAAUUAUUUAACAACAAGUUGGCAGUCAUUAUUCAUUGUGACUGAGAUGAGGGAAAAGGAAAUGACAGAGAGAGGGAGGGGUGAGGAUGAUAUGGAGGUGAAGCAGAUCUUACGGAAAGAAGGAUGGGAUGAAAGUAGCUGAUGCUUUGGCUCCUGCUCAUGUGCCAGCCCUGAGCCAAGUAGUAGAGUUCUACUGGGGAGGCGGGCUCUUCAGAAUAUGUCCACAAACUAAUUACUGACAGUUUUGUUCAGGGAAUUAUCUCCAUGUAGAUUGCUGCAUUUCACAGCAAAUUAUCUGUGGAAAUCCCAGAAAACAAUACAUAAGGCAGAAAGGUUUCAUUGGGGUCUUGCUUAUUGUCUUGCUCACUCUCUUUGUCCUCCUCUCUAAUGCUGAGGAAACUAAGAGCCUGUUUCCUUUAUUUGUGAAUUCUUUCUCCUCUCCAAAAAAAUCCAAAUAAAGGCUUUGUCUAGGUUGUGCUGUGAGGUAGCGAUAAGCUGUCAGUAUUGAUGCCAGAGUGUUUUAAAGCAUUCUUAACGAUGUUGUACACCCAUACAGUGCUUUGUGGGCUUGGCACAUUGGAAUAGCACCAAGAAAAGCAUUUCGUUCUAUAUAUAUCCAAAUAUAAUGUAUUAGUCAGAAAAGAAAAAACAGGAGCAUGGUAUAAAGGGAGAGAAAAUGUCAUAAAAAGCUAAGUAUAACCCCCCUGAAGAAACAUCAAAAUGCCGUAAAAUAUGCAACUACAAAAACAAACAUUUUGUAAAGGGGGGAUUAUUAUUAAUAUGUGUAUUAUUAAUUGUUUAUGCUUAGUUUUUGUCUUCUAUUUUGUCAUCUUUAAUGUCUUUUUUCACAUUUUUUAUAUUUCUGUUGUUUAUUUGUACAUCUAUGUACGAUUAAAAGCAACAUGUAACCGGAAACACAUUCCAUGUAUGUAUAAAUAUACAUGGCCAAUAAAGCCGAUUCUGAUUUUAUUAAUAUAAUUUGUUGCUUUGGUAUUUACUUAAUUUUAUCUUACAUAUUACUUGUGAAACCUGUCAUUUUCUGUAAUGUUUACUGUAUUCAAUUUACACCUUGCAAGUUACCUUGCAAAGUUAAAAUUCUUGAAAAAUGAACAUUAAAUAAAUACGUUUCUUCUUUGGUUUCUUUUUUUCAGCUAUUUACUCCGAGGUGGUCCCCUUUAUCCUGACAGCAAAUAUUUUUCGAGACAGACGUUUCAGAGAAACACCUUCUUAUCAUGGGUACGCCAGUUUCAGGGGAGAGGCCAAAAAACAGCCUCAGAGUUUAAAAUGCCAACCGCAUCAUUGCUGGCUAUAAAGGGACCGCAGAUGUUUUUGCUCUAGAGUUUGCCAACAAAGUUUGUAUAACUUAGAAAUAAGCACACUGAAUGCUUUCUUACUAUGUUGCAUAGAUAAACUAGUGAAUCACAAAACUGAUUUAUUUAGUAAUGUUCAAUUAAUUAAUCUGUCACUUUAAUGCAUAGUCACUUACUCGUGUGACAACCAUAUACUCUACAUUCAAAUACAUAGUAACGCACCACAAGUUGAUGACUAAGAUUAAGUCAAUGGAUUCAAACGGGAGCCCUUGCCGAAUUUGAUCAAUAUGACACAUUUUCUUGUUUUCUUCAUGAUCAUGUCAGCUAUCAUGAACCCUGGAGGAGGGUUCAUCAAUUAGUGACAGUAUCUGGGUCAGUUCACUCUUCAGGGUGUAUGGGUGGGCAUCCGGACAACCCAGGACCUGACGCAUCCUAAGGAUGAGCAAAGGGAAGUGUUUCAAUGUGUAUGUGUGUUUGUGGGGAGGGUCGGGCUUAGGAGAUGUAUAGUAGUGCUACACCCCAAUGACAAGCCCACUGGUCUCAUGGCAAGACACAAUUAAUGACCCAUGCCAACAUUACAGGAUGAAAAAUCCCCACUGUCCGAGCAUCGCCCCACCCCUCCCCGUCCACCCUUCGCCUGGCAACUGGAAUUCUUCAUUAGGUCUGGAAAUGGAGAGGAGGGUAUAAGAGCCUGUUUGCAUCAUCUUUGGACUGCUAUAAACUGCUGAUAUCUAACUCAUACCUGGCCUCAAAAAACAAGGUCACCAAUUCAGGACUUAUACCCAUUUAAUAGGAAAAGUUGGUCUUUUGAAAAGUAGUCUCAUCUACAUGCUUUUCUUUGGCAAAGACAUGUUAUCCUCCCAUUGCAAUGAGGUGGUGGGCGUAAAUUGUCACAAUUAUUUAUUAUUUAUUUGCAAGCUUCACCUAACAUCUUUUCAUUUUCAUCAGAAUUACUUUCUAUUGAAUACAAAUUCAAAAUCUAUGAAGAGUGCAUUAAGUAAAGUAUAAACUUGUCAUAUUUUUCUUCUUUUGGCUGUACAAGUGAAAUUAUAAUCAAUAUUAUCACAGAAUAGUGAUAGGAUUUUUUUCUUGUUGUCAUCUUAUUUCAGUCAUCUUCUCUACCGCUUAUCCUUAGAGGGUUUCGGUGGGGGCUGGGGUUAAUCCCAGCUAGGAUCAGUGGAAGGAAGCUGGACUAUAUCUGGAGAAAACACACGUAGGCACAGGGAGAACAUGCAAACUCCACAGAGAAAAGUCUCUGGAUGUGUUUGAACCCAGGAUCUUCUUGCUCUGAGGCAACCAAACCACUGUGCCGCCCUCUUCAUUCUAUACCAUAUGAACUAAAUCCAUUUGUACUACAGAGUAAUGCCUUAUUCGCCACAGGUUUUCAUUCACAUAUAUUUGUAAUUGCAUUUUGUUUUUUUGGUCUCAAUCUCUAGUUCCAAGUCUUUUUCAAUACAGCAUGAUGUUCAUUUACAAGAAUAUAGUUGCACAUGAAGUAAAGCAUCACACAUCCGGAUUGUCUCAUUUUCUUUCAAUUGAAAAUAUAAUGUUCUUUGAGUAUACAAUUUGUCCAUGCUCAGGGAUUGGACAGGAAGGAAAGAGUUGGGAGAGAGGGGAUGAUACACAGCAAAGAGCCAAAGGUUGAAAUGUGCCGCUGCCAAGGGAGCCAACGCUCUACCUAAUGAGGUGGUCAGUUUUUGCAUUUAGUGUACAUUUUACACCAUAGUACAGUGGCUUUUCUCCCGCUUUGCUCUGGCUGUUUAGACCAGCUGCAGACUCAUCACAUCUUCUUCGACAACGCUCAUUCCAACCACUAUGUGCCAUCCAAUAAGCCCAAUAACCAGGAUAAACAAAUCGUACCAAUCUCCAAAAGUGAAAAUAGCUUUCAAAAUAACAACUGCGAAUGUAGAAAUGCAUUAUCUUCACCCUCAAAAUCCAAUUUAUUUCAUGCAUAUCUUACUAUCUAAAUUGAAUACAGGACGUGCGGGAAAUCACUUUCAAAAGACUUUUCUUAUCUAAUCGCAGAGCGCUAUCUUAUCUCUGGCAUCUCGCUUUCUAACCAUGCAGAGGCGUCAAACUGCGGUUCUCUACUCUGCGGCUGUCUCUCUAUGUUUUCACUGAUUUUCUCAUGCAUCAUGUUUUGCCAGAUCCACCACACAUUUAAAAGGAGUGUUAAAUGUAAGUAUAAAGUUAACAGAUUAAUAAUUGCAAUUAUUAGGUUAUGUAAAGAUUUUUAAUUAUGGUCAGAUAGACUGAGUUGAAAUAUUAGGUGAAAUUCCAAUUAAAUGAGCUAAUCAAAAAAUGUAAAAAAACGUAGUAACAAAGUAACAUUCAGCAUUCAAAAGGGUACAACAUUCAUGCAUUUGCAAAACCCACAUAUCCUGUGUGAUCAUUGCAGAAUGUGCCAUAUAUAUGUGGUAUAUGUAUGCGUACAGCACAUACAGAUGGUGUCAGCCCAGAUUAAUCAGAAUUAAUUGCCACAAUCAAAUAGUAAUCACAGUAGUAUGAAUGACAAGGCUUGUGUUACAAGUACAAAUUUACAUUUGAAGCAGUAUAUUUCAAGGAAAGGCCCAAUGAUUUGUCUUAAUCAUUCAUCCACUACUUUCAUACUGUGGACAGUGAAUUAAAACCCAAGGGCCCUGUCAUUGACACAGUUCCAAGGACUGAGACCCCAAAUCUCUGCACACAACCUGCUGUGUGUGGGGGGUUAGGGGACGGUGUGACCCUGGUCAUUCCCACACACUGAACGCUUCAGAGCCCCAACGGUUGUUUACUGAUCUACCUAAACACUUCCUCUCUCACACCCUCCUAACCUUUCCUCUUGCUCCCACACUUCUUUAUCUACACAUCAGCACACACAGAGUCCAUGUGAACAAAACACCCAAAGAAUAAACAAACUAUUACUAUUACUUACUAUAAUAGUCAUUCCUAUGAAAUAAUAAUAUUCUUCCCCUAAAUUUGUCUUAUAAAAAAACAUUCCACAUUGGAGGUCAAUUGCAUAUAAUGCUGCUUUUACAGCACAGACUUUUGACUUAUAGCAGAAAAGAAACAGGUGUAAUUAAAGCUUCAAACGGCAAGAAAAACACUUGGGAAAUGUGUGCAAGAGAAACAAGCACAUAUAAUAGGGUGAGAAUCCAGUCAUUUUAAAAAUAAAAUAUUUUAUAAAAAGUCAAAAAAAGAGGGGGGGGGGGGGCUUUUUUCUGCGGACAUUACCAGUCCAGUGGUUGGGCACCCCUGUAGUUUUAUUUUAGUUAUGAAAGACACUGAGCCAGAAUUAUGUGUUUCUCUACCUAAAGAGAGUAAGGUGGAUUAAAUAUAAAUUCUUUUAGUUUGUUAAAUCAGCUUUGGGAGGCAUUCAGGAUUGGUGUGUGCAUCAACCAAGAAGCCGCUGUCUGUGGUAAUUUGUAUUGUUAAACCAGAAGUCAAUGUCAAAAAUUGUUCACAACAUUUCUGUACUUAAAUAGUACCACUUCUGCUUCUAUUUCUUAAAACUAACCAAGUAGUUUUGUUGUCUACACAAUCAGACAGUGGAUACAAAAGCUGUAAUGUUAAAUAACAAGAAUAUGUAGAGAAUAAUGCAGUAAGGCACUCAAGCAUUGUGUAAUACUGUUAUAAAGUUUAUUUACCUGUAGAUCAGGUUAACUGAUUUCACUAUUUCCCUCCACAUAUCUAGGCAUGGUUUACUCCUGUACCAAUGGUGGUAAUUAUCCCAUAGUAUCGUUAAAUGGGCACUUGUCAAUGAUACACUAAUCAAAUGUAAUUCAUGGAAUAAUCCCUGAAAUGUAAAGUUCAUGUGUGUUUCUACAACAUUUUCUUAUGUGCCAAACUUUGUUCAAUUUAAAAACAUUUCCAACACAGCUCAGUUCUCUAGAUAUCAAGAAUGUGAAUGAAAGUCGUAAUAUAUAUUUUUUUUAUUUUGAGAAAGAUUCACAUGCACUAUGAAACAAAAAAACAAAAGAAAACCUUCUUAUAGGCAAGAAUAUAUUGUAUAUAAUUUUGUCCACACAAAUGGUAACUUCAUUCCCUCUGACAAACUGCAGGCAAAAUCCCUUUUAUCACAAACAUUUAAACCGGCAGUUCAAGCCCGUGAGUUUAAAGGUGGAAGUUGGGCAUGCUGAUUAUCAUGGUCUGCUGCAAUUUCACAUUAAAGUACUUCAUAACAGGGUCAAUAAUCUUUUUUUCUCUUACUUUGCAUGAAUAUGGUGCAUCAUAAUAUAGUUUUUUUUUUUGUAUUUACUUUUAAGGAAAUAAUUACCAAUAAUUCUCACAAUGACUACAAGGAUGAGUGCGCGACUCGCGUAAAAGUGUACACAAAUGCUCUUAGUGGUGAUUUCCAGGAAAUGGGGCCACCGUGAGCAUGUUCUCUCUGGUUAACUACACUGAUUAGAGUCCUGACUGUAUGAACUCCAGAAAGGGUCAAGCUCAAUACAAACAGAGACAUAGAGAGAACUAAAGUAGAAAAAGGGGGAUAUUUAGUCUGUACUCCACUAUUUCCUCUCUCACUCUAUUAAACAGGAGCAUCCUGCAUCCUAUACCCAAUCCUCCCCCCAGUCCCCUCAUUUCCUACCUUCCAACCAGAACGCACACUCCCCCACAAAUCCCUUCACGCCAAACUCACUCAAGAUUAAGCAUGUGUGAAAUUGAGGACUUUCUAAUACACAUGCCCCUUCUGCUCUCCCCUCACGCACGCAAACGCACACAUGCGCACACGUAGACGCACACACACACACUAUCCAGUCCUUCUCGGGAACCAAAACAUAAGAGUAAGUAGUGAAUGAGUAAGUAGCAGAUAGGAAGAGGGGUUUGUCUGCAAAAGAGGCUUUAUAAUGAACACUUCCUGGUGAGUGUGAAUACUUCUAAAUGUGGGUCACAAGAUCUAUACAUUCAAUAUGUGAUUAUUUGUUUAAGACUCCCGACUUCGAUUGAAUUCCAUGAGUUUCAGAAUAGCACAGUGUGGGGGGGGACGGAAGGGGGGGAUUCUUCGCUUGCUUCUUGUUUGUUUCUUUACCAUAACUGAACAGUUAAAAAGUAAUUAUUUAUCUAAAUGUUUGCGUUAUUGAACUAUGCCAACCUUAUUUUCAGGAAUAAUUCAGUUCAUUUGAAUUUUUUGGAGAAAAAAAUGUUUUGUAUUUGUCACCAAAAAAUACAUUGAUUCUAUACAAAGCCAGUAAAUGAAUGUAAAAAAUCAACAGAACUGUAAUAUAACAAUAGUAUAUGAACCUUAAAUUAUUGCAAUUAACACGCUCUCCUCAAAGUCACAAAACUCCACUGGAAAACAAUUGACCUUUUAUAAGUUCAUCAUUUAAACUUAAAAACAAAAUAACAACCAUCAUGGUUUGCUCGUUCCACUUCCAACAGAAGUUCUGACAGAACACCUAUUUAAGUUUGAGUUAGCAACUGGAUCGCCAGCUUUACACUACAGUAUGCCAUACCAUACAAUACCUUAACGUAGCAUUUUUCCAGGUUUCAAAAUCUGGGGACAGGAAAAUGCUAUUCAAUGAAACUUCCCUGAACGUACGAUGCAUGCAAUCCUUGGUGUAAUUCAAAGGUACCUUCGCAGUAGCACAGUUCUUCAGCAGAAUGGGAUGACCCAGCAUCUGACAUUGAAAGAAUCCCUCCUUGACUCGGUGAGCCACCCACCUUAAAGCAAAUUUGAGAGAGCAGUUGUACCAAACACAGAGUUUAUUUAGUUUAGCUUUUAAUACAUUGAAGUGCAUGUGAGUGUUCCCCAUUGGUUAGCUCAAGACCGCUGCGCUGCUCCUAUUUUACAUGUUUUCAUCUUGAAAUAAACUAAAAUCUACUUUACUUUUUUUUACCUGAAGCUUGAAUUCACACUUUUAAUCAUGUUAAUUGCUACCAAUUUGCAAUAUAUAUAUGCAAUAUAUCUAAUAAAUUGCAGGCUCGUUAUAUUAUGACUGGUUGAGCAUCUGUAACAGGGGAGAAAGAUACGUUUCAAUGAGUUGACAAAAUUACAGUCUGCAAUUUUGUUACUCAAAACGAAACAGGUGUCAUCCCUCGUUGGACUUCGAGCAUAUUGUGUCAUGUACUUCAUACACAAGUUACUUCCAAUCCAGAGCUUUCACAAAAGAGGAAAGUAUCUAUUACAAAUUAAGCAGUAAAUCAACUAAAAUAAGAAAGCGUAGAUAACUCAAAACCAGCUGCCUGAAAAGGUUUUCAUCACGCAUGUGAUGACAUAUUUGAAUUGGUUUAAUUGAGAAAAUCUGGAUGCCUGGUGGUGAUUAAGGUUAGGACAGUGCCCUUGAACAUUGAUACUAAAGUUUACCCUGACAAACUGUGGAAAUGGUUUCACACCUUUCAUGUUCAAAGAAGUUCUAGCAAGACCUUUAUAAAUUUGUCUUUCAUCAUAUUCAUAAAAACACAAAAAGAAGAAAAACAAUGAUGAUGUUGGCAAAUUGUUUAUUCCAAAAAUACGUUGGACAUAACAACCUUAUGUAGUUUUCCUGAAGGAUGUAGAGGAAUAUACUUCUAAUUUCACUAACAAAAGGUAUAUCAAGGCACCGAAUAACUAUGGCGGCAAAUCACUGUCAAAAUUCGAAAGUCCAAAUCAGGUUGAAAUAAAACAUCUGCGAGCAAAUGUCUCGCGGGAGCAAAUGUCUGUCUCGCGCGAGCAAAAAGUCUGUCUCGCUCGAGAUAUUUGCUUGCUCGUGGAACGUGAACUCCCUAGCUCGCGAGGCUAAUCUCUGCUCGCGCUCGAAGGUGUUUUCUACAAGCUCGCUGUUUUUGUUGUCCCAUGUCGAAGUGUCCCUGACCAAGACACCUAACCCCUAAUUGCUCCCUGGGCAGAAAUGUAAAAAGCCAUGGGUUAAAAAUGCAAUGUAAGUCACUUUGGAUGAAAGCGUCAGCUAAAUGACGCUUCUCACCAUUAGGCCUUAGCGAUUAGUUUUCUUUUCUUAUUUUGUGAGGAAUGUUAGAUUUUACGGGAAUGUAUAUUUAUUGAAUAAAAAUGUUUUUGUAACCUGGGAACCACGAGCCCUUGCCUGUUGAGUGAAACGAACCCGCGUGCUUUAAAAGGUCUUGGGCCUAUCCCAAGUGGCGUUGCCGGUAGAAUAGGGAACCAUUUCGCCACAAACAAUAUUCCCUCUAGUCCAUGUUUCAGUAUUGUUAGUGGAAUGUAUGUUUCAAAUCCAAAACUGAAAACUGCCCUCCACCCCUGUCAUCACUGUAAAUAGUUGCCAGAUCCCCCAAAAAAGGAUUAACAAAACUAGUACUGCGAGCUGUACGAGACCUACUCGUACCUAACGUAAUAUUAUGACCGGUCUAGGAGGGACCUCGGACUUUUAAUAAACAGGAUACAACCGUAUGUGCCUUUUUUGCAUACAACAUACACUGCACUGAAUGUAGUACAUUAGAGUCUAGCAUAAUAGCAUUGUUUAAUAACAAACUGCUAUUCAAUCUUAAGUAAUAUUGCAAGAAGUUUGCUCAAUGAUAACGUGUGGAUGGCUCUUAAAAGAGACGUUUGGGUAUGCUUGAACACACGCUAUCUUGCCAUGAGACAGUUUCCUCGGCAGAGAAGUAUAAUCUGCAGGUGAAGUCCAGUCCCCGAUCCUUCCUUGUCCUGUCCUGCCAGUCCCGGCUCCACGACUCGCUCCCCGACUCGGCCAGUCCCGGCUCCGCGACUCGUACCCCGACUCGGCCAGUCCCGGCUCCACGACUCGUUCCCCCGACUCGGCCAGUCCCGGUUCCACUGACACCUCCACGACUCCUGCCUCCGACUCUGGUACCGGCUCCACGACUCGUUCCCCCAACUCGCCGGUACCGGCUCCACGACUCGUUCCCCCGACUCGGCCAGUCCCGGUCCCCUUGACACCUCCACGACUCCUGACUCCGACUCUGGUACAAACAAGCGAUCAAAUGGGCUAACAGCUAGCAUUAUGUACCACUGGAAGCGGCAUUCAUCCAGACGCAGCUCCUGUAGAAGUCUGUGAAAUUCCCCCGAGCUCUGCCGAACAGCGCUGUGUUCUGUACAAAAUAGCAUACGUGAGUCUAUGUAUGCUAUUUUAAACAGCGCUGUUCAGUAGUCCGACGAGCCUCAUCCUCUCCUUGCCCGCGAUGUCAGAGUCCACAGAUCAAAUGUUUGAUAUUUUUUCUAUUGUCUUUUAUCUCGCACACACACAAACACACUCACAUACACUGUGUAUGUGAUUCAGCUGUUGGGAGCAGACAUUUGCUCGGUUUGAAGGCCAUUCCAGUCGUAUUCCUUUGUUUGCUACACAUGACACAUUUCCUCUCCCACUGUGUCGUAAUAUGGCUAUUUUCUCAGUCAAUUUGCCUCUCUCAGCAUCCGAGCAACUGCAGAUAUAAAAGAUGAUACAGAUUGGGGAAUGGCUGUAAAAUCUGUACCAACUGUUUAAAUUCCAGGUCAUUGUUGGAUUUACAUUAAAAUGUAACAUGUAAAAAGAAUCAAGAUGAUUGUUUGAAUUCACAUUCAUUUUCUGCUUUCCUUGUUCACAAGUAAUGCAAGUAAUAAAUAACAAAAAUAAUGAAGAUAUCAUUUUGUGCAACAAAGCUUAUACCCUAAGAGUGAGGGGCAACUGUGAUAAGGCAGGAUCAGGACCCAGCCCCGUUAAAUAAUUGAUGCUGGGGUCAACUCAACAGCCUUUUUAUCAAAAGCUGGCGCAGUUAUGUACUAGUAUGGCAGCGUUUGGGUGACAAAAGGUUAAAUAGGCUUGCUAACAUGUUUUAUGUACAAAAUCACAAACCAAAGCUUGGACUACUUUUUCUUAUGUGACAAAAUGCUGACAAUAAAAACAAAUUGACAAGCUAAGGAUAAUUUCAAUUUCACAUUGACUGUCUGAAACACAAAUAUUGAAAAAGGUAGCAGAAAGCGCCAACAAAUGCCCAGCGCUGACACACACACACACUUGCAUACACACACUCCAACCCCACACCACCCCCUAUCGCUGAGGUUCACCCUCCUGAUUCUGUCCCCCUCGGUUGCUUGGUUGCUAGGCAACAUGUUCCUUGUGCGGACACCCACCUGCCUUCAGGCUUCAGUGCUCUAAAUUUGGUCUUAAUUGCAAAUUGAGUGGGAGAACAGGCCGACGCUGGCUGAAUGAGAAACAGGUGGAUGAAGCUUGGCCGCCAUGAAGUAACGGAGUCAGAAGACAAACAAUGAUAAAAUACGCACAAAGGCAGACACGCAAGCUGCUGCUUGGAGAUAUAUUUAAAAACACAAGUUCCGGGCAGUCGAAGGAAGAGAAGAUGUAUCAAGAGGAGUCAACAUGUACCUGCAAUGGUUGGCAUGGAGUUCCAAAGACAGAAAGAAAAAAAAAAUCAUCUCUUUUAUUUAGAUAUCAGUUAAGGGUCUCAAGCUCUUAUCUCUUAGCCUAAUUUUCAGUAUGAACAACAACCAUUCUUCCAACCAUUGAUGAAAGCAAUAGCAAAUAUGUAUUUUGGCAUACAAAUCCAAUUCUCAAAUUAGACUACGCUAUUCAAGGAUUUCAAUUGAUAAUUAAACUUGUAACGAUACUAGGUCUGUGUCAUGUAUUAGUUUAUUUAAUGUGUUUAAUGUAUUUAAUGUCUGUAAUCAGUUACAUGAAUUGCAAUUUGCUGAAGUCAUAUAAGGAAAAUCAAUAGAUUUCUACUUGCCUCUAAAACUGUACUUUUAUAUGUCACCUGCAAUUUGGAAAAACCAUAAAAGCUGUGUGUUCCUUAAAAAUCAUUUUUGGAAACAUAAUUCCCAUUUAAAUCUGAAGAUGCGUCUUUGGAGUGCAUGUUUUCUUAUCUGCCAACAUUGGUCUACAAAAGCUACAAGAGCUUUAUAGAAUAUUCUUCCUCCUGUCGUUCAGUAAGUAGAAUGGUUCCUCCUUAUAUCAGAAGACGUUUGAUCCCAGACUCAUCCUGUGCAAUUGUCCUCCAGUGAGACACUGAACCCCAUGUGUGUGAAUAAGAGACAAAUAGACUCGUUGUCCAAUAUAGUAGGAAGCUGCUUUUUGAAUGCGAGCUGGACACAUUGGUCUUAAUGUGCGGCCGAAGUGCCGGUAAUAAUGGUAAACUAGGGUUGUAGCUGGUUGUCAUCUACUGUCCACUACGAUUACAGAAAGGUGUCGUUUGUGUUUUGAGAACGUUUUAUCUCAUCAUUUCGACUUUCUAUAGUUCUGUGAAUGCAUAACUCCGGCCAAUCCAAAGACGGGGUUUGUAACCAAUUCGAUGUAGAGAUACCAUGGUGACUGGAUCCGCCUCUUUACUGUCAAAAACAGCAAGCGCAAAGAAAACAACUUCUCGAGCGUGCACAUUCAGGUUUUGCGAGCGAGCAAAUAGCUCGAGGCAGACCUUUGCUCUCUCAAGACCAACUUUUGCUUGGGAAAGUUUGAUUUGCGCUCCAGGAUUUUGACAGAGAUUUGCCGCUAUACUCUGGUCCUCUCCCACCCACCCUCGCGUGUUUUAGGGCCUUCGGGGGGGUACUGUCAUGGUGUGGGUUUGUGUUGUGUUUUAUUUAGUAGUUUCCAGCCUCUUGUGUCACCCCCUGGGAUUGUUUGCCGUGUCCCUGAUUGUUUCCACCUGUGUCUAAUCACCUGCACCUUCCCAGUGUAUUUAAGCAAUGUGUGUCUCUUGUCGCCUCGUUGCAUGUCUUCACGUUGAAUGUCUUUUCCGAAGCGUCUGUAUGUAUUUUGUUUUACCCCUAAGCGUUUUAGAUUUUUGUCGAAAUGAAGUUUUUUGAUAAUUACACUCUGCACUUGAGUCCUGCUUCCGCCUACCCGCUGUGACGAGAGAAGUAUAGUUUCCUAUGCACCCGGGCCUUGAAAGUCCCACUGGAAGUCACCACUUAUCAAUGGAGAAAUGAAUUACUUAACCCUAGAUAAAUACAGUAUAUAACUUUGUUUGUUUUGGGUAUGUCAGAUUGGACAUGGCACCCCACAAUCCAAUUCAUAAUUUGAAACGACAUGUCUUCUUUUAAUCAUUUCACAUGAAACUUGAAGUUUAUUACAACUGAAAUAAAUGUUUAAAGCAUAAUAUUUACAUCUGUAACACAAGUUCAGUUUAUUUACCCCAGUAAUUUAGGAUUAGCUAAAAUAAAUUACAAUUUUUUUUCCCUCACAUUUGCAGUUAUUUGUCAUCAUUAUGAUAAUGAGCUAAGUUUAGUCCCAAAACGUCUGUUUUGUUUUUCUCGCAACCAAAAUAUUAUAGAGCUACAUCGACAAACUAAAAACUCUUCAGAGAGAACAUAUCGUAUAUGGACCCUAUUCGCUCAAUUUAAUUACCACAGCCCUAUACACAAUCCACCAGAGACAACGGUGCACCGGAUGCUCAUUUCAACUCCUCUUCCCCCAAAUCCCCAUAGAAAUCUCCUUUGGUCGGACAAUGCACUUUUUCCCAUUUCAAAAAAAAAGAAAGAAAAUCAAUAUCUGGUUUCAAUACAUGUGGAAGCCGAUCAAUACCAGCUGCAGCGCUUUUUCUCUGCCAUACUCUUUCUCUAGUUUUCCCUCCAUCUCUGGAAAAUGGUAAAUAGAAACAAUGGUGUAUGGUUAUUGGGAGGUCAGGGUGCAGCCGCAGGAGAGAAUAAGGCUGCUGAUGAGAGUGCUUGAGCUGAAAUCACACAGGCAUUGAUGCCGUUAACCUCUUUGUGAAGCAGCAUGGACAAAAGAUUUUGAAGACCCCACGCACACAAUUGACCUGCAUGGGGGAUACAAAUCCAGUGUUUUGCAGUGUGCAUGAUUUUGGUGUUUUGUGGAUGGUGAAGACUGUUUCCCAUCUGACACCCCAGAUAUGAGACAGGAAAUCCAUCAGAAGCAAAAAACACAAUGGGGAAAUGUGUCCAAAAGGGAUAAGGUUAAGUAGUGUUUCAAGCCCAAAGGGUAAAUGAUGGAUAAAAAGAGUUUAACAUAUUACUUCGGGAAACUACCCGAAUGAUUUGAAGUUACAGGAGUU
ensembl:lncRNA